GCCGCUGUAGCUCAGUUGGUAGAGCAGCGCAUUCGUAAUGCGAAGGUCGCCAGUUCGACUCCGGCCAGCGGCA
rnacentral:tRNA from 2 species